CCUACGGGAGGCAGCAGUGGGGAAUCUUGCUCAAUGGGCGAAAGCCUGAAGCAGCGACGCCGCGUGCGGGAUGAAGGCCCUCGGGUUGUAAACCGCUUUCAGCAGGAACGAAAUUGACGGUACCUGCAGAAGAAGGCCCGGCCAACUACGUGCCAGCAGCCGCGGUAAUACGUAGGGGCCUAGCGUUGUCCGGAUUUAUUGGGCGUAAAGAGCUCGUAGGCGGUUCGGUAAGUCGGAGUGUGAAAUCUCCACGCUCAACGUGGAGGGGCCACCCGAUACUGCCGUGACUCGAGUCCGGUAGGGGAGUGUGGAAUUCCCGGUGUAGCGGUGGAAUGCGCAGAUAUCGGGAGGAACACCAGUAGCGAAGGCGGCACUCUGGGCCGGUACUGACGCUGAGGAGCGAAAGCGUGGGUAGCAAACAGGAUUAGAUACCCUGGUAGUCCACGCCGUAAACGUUGGGCACUAGGUGUGGGACUCUAUCGACGGGUUCCGUGCCGUAGCUAACGCAUUAAGCGCCCCGCCUGGGGAGUACGGCCGCAAGGCUAAAACUCAAAGGAAUUGACGGA
rnacentral:rRNA from 1 species